GAAAUUUUAAGUUAAUAAACUAUUAAUUUUCAAAAUUAAAAUUAAGAAAAAUCUUAAAUUUCA
rnacentral:tRNA from 1 species